rnacentral:rRNA from 3 species
ACUUUCAACAACGGAUCUCUUGGUUCUCGCAUCGAUGAA